GGUAAGGUCUUGUUUUCUCCAAGAAAUGCAUACUUCAAGUUUUCGGAAAGGUCUUUAAGUUCUAGUUGUGGAGGUUUGACAUUGGAUGACACUAGCUGAGAUUCCGAAAUAGGCAAUGAUUCAAACUUGGUGGCCCAUCUGCUAGUAUCCAUCACAGGAAUGGAAUCUAACAAUGCAUUAACCUCUUGACUUGACUCACAAUCUUGACCAAAAUUAGCCAAACAUCUU
rnacentral:lncRNA from 1 species